rnacentral:rRNA from 1 species
GUCGAACGAUGACUUUUGUGCUUGCACAGAAUGAUUAGUGGCGAACGGGUGAGUAACACGUGAGUAACCUGCCCUUGACUUCGGGAUAAGCCUGGGAAACUGGGUCUAAUACCGGAUAUGCACCGUGGACCGCAUGGUUCUUGGUGGAAAGAUUUUUUGGUCAGGGAUGGACUCGCGGCCUAUCAGCUUGUUGGUGAGGUAAUGGCUCACCAAGGCGACGACGGGUAGCCGGCCUGAGAGGGUGACCGGCCACACUGGGACUGAGACACGGCCCAGACUCCUACGGGAGGCAGCAGUGGGGAAUAUUGCACAAUGGGCGAAAGCCUGAUGCAGCGACGCCGCGUGAGGGAUGACGGCCUUCGGGUUGUAAACCUCUUUCAGUAGGGAAGAAGCGAAAGUGACGGUACCUGCAGAAGAAGCGCCGGCUAACUACGUGCCAGCAGCCGCGGUAAUACGUAGGGCGCAAGCGUUAUCCGGAAUUAUUGGGCGUAAAGAGCUCGUAGGCGGUUUGUCGCGUCUAUCGUGAAAGUCCGAGGCUCAACCUCGGAUCUGCGGUGGGUACGGGCAGACUAGAGUGAUGUAGGGGAGACUGGAAUUCCUGGUGUAGCGGUGAAAUGCGCAGAUAUCAGGAGGAACACCGAUGGCGAAGGCAGGUCUCUGGGCAUUAACUGACGCUGAGGAGCGAAAGCAUGGGGAGCGAACAGGAUUAGAUACCCUGGUAGUCCAUGCCGUAAACGUUGGGCACUAGGUGUGGGGGACAUUCCACGUUUUCCGCGCCGUAGCUAACGCAUUAAGUGCCCCGCCUGGGGAGUACGGCCGCAAGGCUAAAACUCAAAGGAAUUGACGGGGGCCCGCCCAAGCGGCGGAGCAUGCGGAUUAAUUCGAUGCAACGCGAAGAACCUUACCAAGGCUUGACAUGUGCCAGACCGCCGUGGAAACACG